rnacentral:lncRNA from 1 species
AUUACUUUUUCUUAUCUUGACUAACCGCCCAUUCACAUGAAAACUUGAAAAAUCCAAAAACACAAAGAAUCAAUCUAGGAUCACUCAAACUGUCAUUAUUGUGCUUCAUCUAAUAGUCUCACAACUUUUGCAUUUAAAAAUAAAAAUGAUACAUACAUCAAUAUAAAUUUGAAUCCUUCAAAGUUAACUUGUUUAAGACAUCUCAAUUCUUACACUAAGAUCAAACGGUUCAUAUUCUAAUUUUAUCAAACCAAAAUCACAAUCUUCCAAUCUUAAUUUAUAUUAGAUGUACCGAAUAUUUGUAUGAUAUUUUGAUCGCAUUAAUGAUGGUGAGGAUCCGGUCCACUUGGACUAAGACGAUUGGUCGAGUACCGUGUUCCCAACAAUUGUUUCCUUCUCAUGAUUUCUUUCACCACUUUUUUAACACUCUCAACAAAUGCAUGGCUUCCAUUACUACUUGAGAGAGAAGAAGAAGAAGGAAGAGAACGAGCAUCAUGGCAGAUCAAAAUUGAUGUGAAGAGAAGAACAAAGCAUAACAUUCUCCAACUUGCCAUAGGAAUUAACUAAUAGCUAUCAAGUAAUAUAGCAAAACCAGCCCAAAUUUG